rnacentral:lncRNA from 1 species
UAGAAGUUUUUCAAUUUUAAAUCAUUAACAUUACAAAUCUCAUACACUAAAAUAUAAAUGUUGCAAAUCUCUCGCAAUAUUUGUCUUUAGAUAAUUCUUCAAAUGAAAAAGAAUACAAUAAAAAAAGAACUCUAGUGACAAUGAGAGAGACUUGAACUUCGAUAGGAUGAACUCCGAUGAAGGGAAGAAAGAGAAUAGGGCUG